GCUGGGUGUGGUGGUGCACACCUGUAGUCCCAGCUACUUGGGAGGCUGAGGCAGAAGAAUUGCUUGAACCCAGGAGGUGGAGGUUGCAGUGAGCUGAGAUUGUGCCACUGCACUCCAGCCUGGGCAACAAGGCAAGACUCUGUCUCCA
ensembl:misc_RNA Metazoa_SRP Metazoan signal recognition particle RNA